rnacentral:lncRNA from 1 species
CCCAGUGAGGAGAACGAGGACCCAGUUGUGUACUGGAGGAAAGGUCCUGACUGCUGCAACCAGCAGAGCCUCCAGCCGAGCUCUGACGUGGGUAGGCCACAAGUACACAUUAUAAAGAACACCCUCAGGGGAUUCUCCAUCUUAAAACUGAGCAACGUUGACCAGAAUGCCAGUAACUCCUAUUUCUGUGAUGUGAUGCUAACACAGAAAAUCCAGGGCAAACGUGGAAAUGGCACCAAGCUGACUGUGCAUGAUUUCAAAUGCAAAGACUGUAUAAAAUCAGAUAAGACCUGGUGGGGUUGGUUCCUUCUUCUUGGAUACACCAUCUUUGUCACCACAGUUAUCAUAGCUUUCAGCAUUCACCAGUGCUGUAAAAAGUGCAAGAGUGAGUCAAGAAACACAAAUAGCAGUGCUACCUUGACAAGUGAAUGGAUUUAUGACCAGCCAUCCAGACCAGUUAAUAAUGGAUUUAAUCAAGAAUAUGAAGAUAUGUCACUAGUAAGAACUUUCAGUGAUAUUGGAAGGAAAAUGAUAUGAAAAACAAGGUGCAUGUAGUUGUAACUAAGACAUGACCGUGUGUGAUGUGUGCUACUGAUAUCAAGAUAGAAAAGAAACAUAUACAUAAAUCACUUCAUUAACUUGGAAUGUUUUUUGUUCAAGUUUUUUUUAAUCUGAUCAUGUGUUUAUUUUAAACUAAAGAAGAUACC